UACGUAGGGUGCAAGCGUUGUCCGGAAUUAUUGGGCGUAAAGGGCUCGUAGGCGGUCUGUCACGUCGGCUGUGAAAACCCGGAGCUCAACUCCGGGCCUGCAGUCGAUACGGGCAAACUGGAGUGUUGCAGGGGAGACUGGAAUUCCUGGUGUAGCGGUGAAAUGCGCAGAUAUCAGGAGGAACACCGGUGGCGAAGGCGGGUCUCUGGGCAACAACUGACGCUGAGGAGCGAAAGCGUGGGGAGCGAACAGG
rnacentral:rRNA from 1 species